rnacentral:rRNA from 1 species
CGGCGGACGGGUGAGUAACGCGUGGGUAACCUGCCUCAUACAGGGGGAUAACAGUUGGAAACGGCUGCUAAUACCGCAUAAGCCCACGACCCGGCAUCGGGUAGAGGGAAAAGGAGCAAUCCGCUUUGAGAUGGCCUCGCGUCCGAUUAGCUAGUUGGUGAGGUAAUGGCCCACCAAGGCGACGAUCGGUAGCCGGACUGAGAGGUUGAACGGCCACAUUGGGACUGAGACACGGCCCAG